GACAGAGGGGGCAAACGUUGUUCGGAAUUACUGGGCGUAAAGCGCGUGUAGGCGGCCCUGCAAGUCGGAUGUGAAAUCCCACGGCUCAACCGUGGAAGUGCAUUCGAAACUGCAGGGCUAGAGUCCUGGAGAGGAAGGUGGAAUGCUUGGUGUAGAGGUGAAAUUCGUAGAUAUCAAGCGGAACACCGGUGGCGAAGGCGGCCUUCUGGACAGUGACUGACGCUGAGACGCGAAAGCGUGGGGAGCAAACAGG
rnacentral:rRNA from 1 species